UUGUAUAUAUAAUGCACCUAGAAAAAGCCUUUGAAAAAAACAAAUCUAUCUCGGAAGCUAAGCAGGGUUGGGCCUGGUUAGUACUUGGAUGGGAGACCACAUAGGAAAACCAGGUGAUAUAGGUG
rnacentral:rRNA from 1 species